UUGUUCCAUUCCGCUGUGUCAGAUAUAAAGUCUAGUCACUUAAAUUUAGUUGUUGAUCAUGUUCCAUUUCAAUGGUGCAUAAAUCAAUCUAACAGCAACAUAUUCGUACAUGUUUUGCGAGCAUAUGCUAGUGUGAAGUGCUCCCAAAUGAUUGUUCGGUUGCGAUUGUCUGAUAAUAUCCCACCUUCGCAAUUGGAUAUAGGGGUAGGAGAGGAGGAGGAGGAGACGAAAACCGAAACCUAAAACCCAAAAACACGAAAUGAAUAACAAGACGCAAAACUUUAAGCAAAUCCCAACAUGUCCAAGUUGUAGCACAAGAAUAAAUAUAUCGCCAAGUUAAGGCAACGCAACGAAUUGAGUCAAAAGAGAAGCAAAACGAACAAUAGACACACACACACACACUCGCACACACAUACGUAACAUACACAGCGAAAACGAGAUGGAGGCGAAGCCCAUAAAUCUAACCUAAACUAGCGCUCAGUGAGUACGAAUCGAUGUGAGGAAAAGAAUGGGGAGAAGCGGAGAAUGCGAGAGAGAGAGAGAGAAGAACAAGAACAUGAAAUCACAUUCGCAAAAAUAAUUAAUAUUUAUUACCCGAGAAUGAAGUAUUAUCAAAUUGCAUAA